rnacentral:rRNA from 1 species
GAUGAACGCUGGCGGCGUGCCUAAUACAUGCAAGUCGAGCGAACGGACGAGAAGCUUGCUUCUCUGAUGUUGGCGGCGGACGGGUGAGUAACACGUGGAUAACCUACCUAUAAGACUGGGAUAACUUCGGGAAACCGGAGCUAAUACCGGAUGAUAUUUUGAACCGCAUGGUUCAAAAGUGAAAGACGGUCUUGCUGUCACUUAUAGAUGGAUCCGCGCUGCAUUAGCUAGUUGGUAAGAUAACGGCUUACCAAGGCAACGAUGCAUAGCCGACCUGAGAGGGUGAUCGGCCACACUGGAACUGAGACACGGUCCAGACUCCUACGGGAGGCAGCAGUAGGGAAUCUUCCGCAAUGGGCGAAAGCCUGACGGAGCAACGCCGCGUGAGUGAUGAAGGUCUUCGGAUCGUAAAACUCUGUUAUUAGGGAAGAACAUAUGUGUAAGUAACUGUGCACAUCUUGACGGUACCUAAUCAGAAAGCCACGGCUAACUACGUG